rnacentral:ncRNA from 2 species
AAACAAUUAUGCAACUGGCGGAAAUAGCGAUUACUAUAGGGGAGCAUAAUUGAAUAGUAUCGACCGCCUGGGUAAAUAUA